rnacentral:rRNA from 1 species
UACAGAGGUCUCAACCGUUGUUCGGAUUCAUUGGGCGUAAAGGGUGCGUAGGCGGUCGCGCAAGUCGGAUGUGAAAUCUCAGGGCUCAACCCUGAAACUGCAUUCGAUACUGCGUGGCUAGAGUGCUGGAGAGGAGACUGGAAUUUACGGUGUAGCAGUGAAAUGCGUAGAUAUCGUAAGGAAGACCAGUGGCGAAGGCGGCUACCUGGACCAGCAUUGACACUCAAGCACGAAAGCGUGGGGAGCAAACAGG